CCUACGGGUGGCAGCAGUGGGGAAUAUUGGACAAUGGGCGAAAGCCUGAUCCAGCCAUGCCGCGUGUGUGAAGAAGGCCUUCGGGUUGUAAAGCACUUUCAGUGGGGAAGAAAGCCUUGGGGCUAAUACCCUCGAGGAAGGACAUCACCCACAGAAGAAGCACCGGCUAACUCCGUGCCAGCAGCCGCGGUAAUACGGAGGGUGCGAGCGUUAAUCGGAAUUACUGGGCGUAAAGCGCGCGUAGGCGGUCUGAUAAGCCGGUUGUGAAAGCCCCGGGCUCAACCUGGGAAUGGCAUCCGGAACUGUCAGGCUAGAGUGCAGGAGAGGAAGGUAGAAUUCCCGGUGUAGCGGUGAAAUGCGUAGAGAUCGGGAGGAAUACCAGUGGCGAAGGCGGCCUUCUGGACUGACACUGACGCUGAGGUGCGAAAGCGUGGGUAGCAAACAGGAUUAGAUACCCGAGUAGUC
rnacentral:rRNA from 1 species